AGAGCGAACGCUGGCGGCAGGCCUAACACAUGCAAGUCGAACGGACCCUUCGGGGUUAGUGGCGGACGGGUGAGUAACACGUGGGAACGUGCCUUUUGGUUCGGAAUAGCUCCUGGAAACGGGUGGUAAUGCCGAAUGUGCCCUUCGGGGGAAAGAUUUAUCGCCAUUAGAGCGGCCCGCGUCUGAUUAGCUAGUUGGUGAGGUAAAGGCUCACCAAGGCUACGAUCAGUAGCUGGUCUGAGAGGAUGACCAGCCACAUUGGGACUGAGACACGGCCCAAACUCCUACGGGAGGCAGCAGUGGGGAAUCUUGCGCAAUGGGCGAAAGCCUGACGCAGCCAUGCCGCGUGAAUGAUGAAGGUCUUAGGAUUGUAAAAUUCUUUCACCGGGGACGAUAAGUGACGGUACCCGGAGAAGAAGCCCCGGCUAACGUCGUGCCAGCAGCCGC
rnacentral:rRNA from 1 species